UCAGUGGGUUUUUUUUUCUUAACUUUCCUUUAGUGAGAUGGCUGUGCUCGUUCCCGUGAAUUCCAAACGAGUUCUGUGGACGGUCGGCAGGAGGCGAGGCCAGUCAGCGCAGUCCUCUUCCACACCCACCACUGGAAAUUAAGAACGCCUUGAAGAUUUGUAUCUGUGCAGCCUGGCUGCCUCCCUGCCUCCAGAUGAAUGAAGAACACUCCGGAACACAGAGACGCUGCUGAUACAGGGCAUGCAGGUGUUUCUGCAAAUAUGAUGAAGAAAAAGAAUCCCAAUAAAAAACAUAAGAGCAAUCUGGGUCCAGCCACCAAAGUAUUGUCACAACCUCGCCGUAACAUUGUUGGCUGUAGAAUCCAACACAUCUGGAAGGAUGGAAGUGGACAUGUGGUAUGGAAAGGCACCGUACUCGACCAGGUUCCAGUGAAUCCUUCCCUCUAUCUGAUCAAGUAUGAUGGCUUUGACUGCGUGUAUGGUCUGGAGCUUCAUAAAGAUGAGAGAGUUCAGGGCCUGGAGGUGCUCCCUGACAGACUCGCUAAAUCCCGCCUGACAGACAUCAAUCUAGCGGACGCCAUGAUAGGCAAAGCGGUAGAACACAUGUUUGAGACGGAGGAGGGACCAAAGGAGGAAUGGAGGGGGAUGGUGCUGGCCCGGGCUCCCAUCAUGACCACCUGGUUUUAUAUAACCUAUGAGAAAGAUCCCGUCCUCUACAUGUACCAGCUGCUGGACGACUUUAAAGAAGGCGACCUUCGCAUCAUGCCUGAUUCCAAUGACACUGUCCCAGCAGAGAGGGAACCGGGCGAGGUGGUGGACAGUCUGGUGGGCAAACAAGUGGAGUACGCAAAAGAGGACGGAGGCAAACGAACAGGCAUGGUCAUCCACCAGGUGGAGGCCAAGCCUUCUGUCUACUUCAUCAAGUUCGACGAUGACCACCUGAUUUACGUCUACGACUUGGUCAAAACGUCGUAAGACUCAGCCGACGCCCAGGUCCCGUCUCCCAGGACACAUCGACCCAGUACAUGUUUCGCAGACCCUUAAAAGGCUUUUGGCGGGCUUCUUUCAGUGUUAACUAAGUUGUACUUUGAAAAAUUUGAAAAAUACAGCAUCAUAUAAUCCAAGCGUAUCAAAACAUAACAAUAUGACUGAGAAAUGUAGCCAUCGUACUCAAACGAUUGUGAGCUGGUACCAUCCACUAGAGGAGACAAACUCAUCAAGUACUCACAAAAUAUUUGUUAGUAUUGCCAUCCUCAAGUCCAUUACUGUCACAAAUACUGGAAUUCUUCAUUUAAGCUCACAUACAAUAUAGAAAUCUAAACGAUGCUACACCAAACCUUUAACAAUGUUAGCUAUGUAUCUUCUUACAUAACUUUGUAAUGUAUGUAUUUUAAUAACACAUUGUUAUUGAUAUUACGCAGUGUUUUACGUCGCAAUCAUUUAUUUGUGGCGGUUACAUUUGGCCUACCUGUUGUCCUCGCUCAUAAAUAAACACAUUAAAAUGGGACUGUGUGGGAAUUAGAGGUGUCCCGAUUCCGAUUCAGCAAAAAAACAUGGAUAUAAAAUCUUUGAUUCAAGCACUCCCGGAACUUGUUUACUUGACAGCCAGUUGACAUUUAAAAGUCCUCCGAUAAGCACACAAGGUUGGUCUUUUCGUGUAUUUUAGUCAAGCCAUUUACAAAAGGUAAACAUGGUAGGCUAUAGGGUACUCGGGAGCUCGCAGCUACACAACAGCUUAGCCCACAAUAGCACACAAGCUAAACAUAAGUGUCUUUAAAUGAACAAUAUUGCGGUUUUAAAUAGCACAUUUGUCAAAUAUAGUACCGUAUUUUUCGGAGUAUAAGUCGCUCCGGAGUAUAAGUCGCUCCGGAGUAUAAGUCGCACCGGCCAAAAAUGCAUAAUAAAGAAGGAAAAAAACAUAAGUCGCACUGGAGUAUAAGUCGCAUUUUUUGGGGAAAUUUAUUUGAUAAAACCCAACACCAAGAAUAGACAUUUGAAAGGCAAUUUAAAAUAAAUAAAGAACAGUGAACAACAGGCUGAAUAAGUGUACGUUAUAUGAGGCAUAAAUAACCAACUGAGAACGCGCCUGGUAUGUUAACGUGACAUAUUAUGGUAAGAGUCAUUCAAAUAACUAUAACCUAUAGAACAUGCUAUACGUUUACCAAACAAUCUGUCACUCCUAAUCGCUAAAUCCCAUGAAAUCUUAUACGUUUAGUCUCUUACGUGAAUGAGCUAAAUAAUAUUAUUUGAUAUUUUACGGUAAUGUGUUAAUAAUUUCACACAUAAGUCGCUCCUGAGUAUAAGUCGCACCCCCCGGCCAAACUAUGAAAAAAACUGUGACUUGUAGUACGAAAAAUACGGUAUUUAAUAUAUAUAUUAUUUACACAAACAAAGUCGUAAGUGUAUUAUAAAAAUAUCCAGUAACAAAUGUGUCCGCAUCAUUGAACUUAUGGCGUCUUUAGUUGAACUGAAUUAAUGGGUGUCAACAAAAAAAACUAUUGUCACCCUACUUUAACUUAAAGACAGCAUACGUCCAUUCCAGAUGGUUAAUAAUAAAUAUAUUUUUUCAUACCUACCAUUGUUCUUUGAGUCAUUUCACUUGACCAAACAUUGUAUUACAUUCCAAACGUAUUACUGCUGAUAUUGUAUCAGAUCGAUGCCGGUAUUGGCGAAUACUCGUAUCGGGACACCCCUAAUGUGAAUGUAGCUCGUCGCUCCAAGUCCGUACAUUAGAUUGCGUCGUAACUCCACUUGAAUUGCAACUUUUCGUGUGGACAACUUCCAUUUAGCGAAUGUUUUGACCCCUCUAGAUUCUGGCAAGCAUCCAAUCUAUCGACUUUUUUGGUGUUUUUGGUGUUAACACUUUUGGAGACUUAACGUGAAACGCGGCUUCGACUGACGUUAAAAAAAAAAAAAAAGCAACAGAAGUAAGUUUGUAUUUCGAAACAUAUUUUAGAUAUAUAUAUAUGUAUGCUGACAUUUUGCUCAAACAACAUCCUUUAAAAAAAACAACUAUAUGGGUCAAACGAUACUGAAGCAUCGACGCAUUAUGAAAAACAAGGAGUGAUACUGUGUCCUCCAUACCUUGAUGUGUGUCACUUUAAGAAAAAAAAUCAUGUCGUUACAAAUCGAUACAACUCCUGUGUCAUUUGACUGUGAAGCGUCACACUGUGUUUAUCAGAAAACUUAUUUUGGCGGACAGGUGACAGCUCGUACUGAAAGUAUUCAGAGGAGUGGUGUGUCGUGUUUGACAUCGGUUUUUGUCGCCAUCAUCGAUGUAAAUGGAAUUAAGUGCAGCUGAGAUAGUCUUCAUCCCCCCAUGACUCCGAAAGGGACAAGCGGUAAAAAAUAGGUGAGUAGAUGGAAAAAAUUCCAAAGUGUGGGGUCAUUUUGAUCUUAUAUCGGCAAAUAAUGUAAAUGCUCUUUUUAUGUUUACUAUUUGGUUCAUUGACGAGAGCGUCACAUUUCAUCAUCCUUUCUGCACAGCUGUUUGUUUAAAAAAAAAAAAUAGUUUGCUCUUAAUUUUAUUUGUUGGUGUAAUGUAGUGACUUUCUUAAUCCAGCAGAUGUCGCCAUUAUGAAACCCCAAGACAGUGUCAGUGCAUCAUCAAUACAGCCAGUGGGUGUGCCACACACUCCCCACUAAUGGCCAGUUAUGGAGAUAGACGAUGCAAUCGCACACAACCCAACACGAAAUACCGCCGCUAAUGUUGGUUCAGAAGGCCUCUGGCAGAAUUCAUCCAGCGCUGGCAACUCGCUAGCUGAAUUCUGAUUGGAUAAAAGCUGUGAGGGCACACCACUGGAUUGGGGUAUGUCGUUUUUUACUUUAGAAUAAUGCUAAGGUCUCUCGUAUUCAUGUUGGCAUUUAAGACGAGGCGAGUUUAUUUUUUAGAAACGAUUCGUACACAAGGCAAUUCAAAGUGCUUUACAGAAAGUUACAAGAAAGCAAAAAUAAUAAUAAAGACAAUCAUAAUUCCAAUCAAAAAAGUGUCGAUAAAAUACUUUUGGUUGUCAUUUGCACAGUUAAGUGUUUUCAGCUUGGAUUUGAACAUUGCCAACGACCUGUUUUACAUCUUCUGGAAGACAAUUCCAGAUUUUAGGAGGAUAAAACUGAAACGCAGUUUCACCAUGUUUAGUCCGGACUCUAGGCGCCAGGAUGAAACCACUCCCUGAGGUUCUAAGAGCUGGAGAUGGUUCAUAUGGUUCGAACUCGUCAGAUACCGUAUUUUUCGGAGUAUAAGUCGCUCCGGAGUAUAAGUCGCACCGGCCGAAAAUGCAUAAUAAAGAAGAAAAAAAAACAUAUAUAAGUCGCACUGGAGUAUAAGUCGCAUUUUUGGGGGAAAUGUAUUUGAUAAAACCCAACACCAAGAAUAGACAUUUGAAAGGCAAUUUUAAAUAAAUAAAGAAUAGUGAACAACAGGCUGAAUAAGUGUACGUUAUAUGACGCAUAAAUAACCAACUGAGAACGUGCCUGGUAUGUUAACGUAACAUAUUAUGGUAAGAGUCAUUCAAAUAACUAUAACAUAUAGAACAUGCUAUACGUUUACCAAACAAUCUGUCACUCCUAAUCGCUAAAUCCCAUGAAAUCUUAUACGUCUAGUCUCUUACGUGAAUGAGCUAAAUAAUAUUAUUUGAUAUUUAACGGUAAUGUGUUAAUAAUUUCACACAUAAGUCGCUCCUGAGUAUAAGUCGCAUCCCCGGCCAAACUAUGAAAAAAAACUGCGACUUAUAGUCCGAAAAAUACGCUACGUACUUUGGCACAAGACUUGUACACGAGGAGAGCGGUUUUAAAGUCCAUCCCCUGACCGACUGGAAGCAAGUGCAAGUGACCUAAGCACUGGACUAAUAUGGUCCUAUUUCCCAGUUCUAGUCCGGACUCGAGCAGCAGCAUUCUGUGUGUACUGCAGCUGCUUUAGAGGGCCCAGUGAGAAUGCUAUUAUAGUACUGCUGGAGACAAAGGCAUGGACUAGUCUUCCUAAGUCUGAUUUAGACAUUAUUCCUCUGAUUUUGGCAAUGUUUCAACUAGCAAAAAGCUGCAGGUGUUAUUGAUUUAUUGUGACAGUUAAAGUUUAGGUCUGAGUCCAUUAUUACCCCUAGAUGAUGAUAGUAUAUAUUUGCACCAUGAAUUGAUUACGUGGACCCCGACUUAAACAAGUUGAAAAACUUAUUCGGGUGUUACCAUUUAGUGGUCAAUUGUACGGAAUAUGUACUGAACUGUGCGAUCUACUAAUAAAAGUUUCAAUCAAUCAAUCAAUCAAUCAAUGUUUAACCUUUCAGAAAGAGGAUCUCAAGGGGACUAUCAGUAUUUUGUCUUUGCCACAGACAAGUUAAAGAAAAUAGUUUUGCAUCCACACACUGAUCUGUUCGUGUUCGUAUUACCUAUGUCAGUUUACGCAGGUGCAGUUAUCAAUCACAGUUUUACUAUAACCUUAAUUUGAAAUGCUGAUGCUAACUGUCUGGAGUUUUACUGCAAUAUUUCAUAAAUAUUGUUACGUCCCCAGGCACACAGUGCCAAUGUUUCUUGUGUUGUCCGUCGUAAACUUUUGUUCGUGCUCAGAGACAAAUUAAAUUAGCCCUAAUGUGCGAGGAAGUUGGACAAAGUUGCUUAAAUGGCGGCUAACAUCAAAUCCUGGAGGGUCUGAUUAUUCACGUUAAAAACCUCUAAAGGCUUAGUGGCCACAUGCGUGGACAGCACCUUUUAGCUCUUAUUUCCAAACUUGUGUACACUACUGAAUUGGGGUCUUAUGGCCACAUAUGUGGACACUUAUACUGCCAUCUGGUGGUGUCAGAAGGGUAUAACAUACAAUGAAAGUUGGGAAAAAAAUUGUAAAAAUAAGAAUUAGCAUGUCACUACACAUGAAGCACACAUUUGUGUACUUAUGGACUAAGUACAUCAUAUAAAAAGAUGAUUCUUAGUUUUUAUUCUAAUUAGGGUCCAAUAAGCCCAAAUAGCAAAGAGAAUUUUUUUAAAAAGCAUGUAAACAAACAGCUUAAGAGGUUUUAAACCAGAUUAAUUUCAGUUUUGUGUUCGUGUUUCUUGUCCUCCAUUUCUACCACAAACAUUUGCUUUGUGAUUAGUUCAAAAUUCCGUCAUGUGACGGUUUGAGGGUUGAAGAGACAUAUUAUUUCAUCCUAAAUUAAAAAAAAAAAAGAAGUGAGGGAAAGGUGAGUGAUCAUUGAAAGUCAAUCUGGGGAGUGCAUGAGCAGACGAGUAUGUUCAAACUUCAUCUUGUGGACUUGUGAUGUAGAUAGUUGCCAAAGCAGAUAGAUGACAGCUAUUAUUAAUACCUGCACAAAAAAGACUCUGAGACGUAUAUAUGUGUAUGUAGUAUGAUCAUCUCGACGCGCACGGUUUUUAAUUGGUUCCGAUAUUGCAAACACACAUUUUGGCAGCAAUGUUCCAGUUGCUUCAUUUUGCGAUUAUUGUUGUUGACGUCGGAAUAAUAUGAGCUUUUUCUAUCAUCCUGCCUUGUAUUUUAUUCUAUUUUUUUGUAUGAUUAAAAAUGGUGUGUUCAUUUUUAUUGUUCAUGAAAAAAAUGUGGUUUGUGGUUCUUUGCAGUGCCGUGCUGCUUCACACAAUGCCGAUAUUUACAUUGUAGCUGCUGUAUGUUAUAGCUGUAACCCAACACUUGAAAUGUCAUAAAAUAGGCCAUAAACAGCCUUUGCAGUCCC